rnacentral:rRNA from 1 species
UGCGCAGGCGGAACUUUAAGUCAGUGGUGAAAUCUUGCCGCUUACGGUAAAAUUGCCAUUGAUACUGAAGUUCUUGAAUAUGGUUGAGGUAGGCGGAAUGUGUUGUGUAGCGGUGAAAUGCAUAGAUAUGACACAGAACUCCGAUUGCGAAGGCAGCUUACUAAACCAUUAUUGACGCUGAGGCACGAAAGCGUGGGGAGCGAACAGGAUUAGAUACCCUGGUAGUCC